GAUAAACGCUGGCGGCGUGCCUAAUACAUGCAAGUCGAGCGAACGGACGAGAAGCUUGCUUCUCUGAUGUUAGCGGCGGACGGGUGAGUAACACGUGGAUAACCUACCUAUAAGACUGGGAUAACUUCGGGAAACCGGAGCUAAUACCGGAUAAUAUUUUGAACCGCAUGGUUCAAAAGUGAAAGACGGUCUUGCUGUCACUUAUAGAUGGAUCCGCGCUGCAUUAGCUAGUUGGUAAGGUAACGGCUUACCAAGGCAACGAUGCAUAGCCGACCUGAGAGGGUGAUCGGCCACACUGGAACUGAGACACGGUCCAGACUCCUACGGGAGGCAGCAGUAGGGAAUCUUCCGCAAUGGGCGAAAGCCUGACGGACCAACGCCGCGUGAGUGAUGAAGGUCUUCGGAUCGUAAAACUCUGUUAUUAGGGAAGAACAUAUGUGUAAGUAACUGUGCACAUCUUGACGGUACCUAAUCAGAAAGCCACGGCUAACUACGUGCCAGCAGCCGCGGUAAUACGUAGGUGGCAAGCGUUAUCCGGAAUUAUUGGGCGUAAAGCGCGCGUAGGCGGUUUUUUAAGUCUGAUGUGAAAGCCCACGGCUCAACCGUGGAGGGUCAUUGGAAACUGGAAAACUUGAGUGCAGAAGAGGAAAGUGGAAUUCCAUGUGUAGCGGUGAAAUGCGCAGAGAUAUGGAGGAACACCAGUGGCGAAGGCGACUUUCUGGUCUGUAACUGACGCUGAUGUGCGAAAGCGUGGGGAUCAAACAGGAUUAGAUACCCUGGUAGUCCACGCCGUAAACGAUGAGUGCUAAGUGUUAGGGGGUUUCCGCCCCUUAGUGCUGCAGCUAACGCAUUAAGCACUCCGCCUGGGGAGUACGACCGCAAGGUUGAAACUCAAAGGAAUUGACGGGGACCCGCACAAGCGGUGGAGCAUGUGGUUUAAUUCGAAGCAACGCGAAGAACCUUACCAAAUCUUGACAUCCUUUGACAACUCUAGAGAUAGAGCCUUCCCCUUCGGGGGACAAAGUGACAGGUGGUGCAUGGUUGUCGUCAGCUCGUGUCGUGAGAUGUUGGGUUAAGUCCCGCAACGAGCGCAACCCUUAAGCUUAGUUGCCAUCAUUAAGUUGGGCACUCUAAGUUGACUGCCGGUGACAAACCGGAGGAAGGUGGGGAUGACGUCAAAUCAUCAUGCCCCUUAUGAUUUGGGCUACACACGUGCUACAAUGGACAAUACAAAGGGCAGCGAAACCGCGAGGUCAAGCAAAUCCCAUAAAGUUGUUCUCAGUUCGGAUUGUAGUCUGCAACUCGACUACAUGAAGCUGGAAUCGCUAGUAAUCGUAGAUCAGCAUGCUACGGUGAAUACGUUCCCGGGUCU
rnacentral:rRNA from 1 species